UUGCAUAUUUUUUAAGCGGAGGAAGGAAACCAACAGGGAUUGCCCUAGUAACGGCGAGUGAAGCGGCAACAGCUCAAAUUUGAAAGCUAGCCUUCGGGUUCGCAUUGUAAUUUGUAGAGGAUGAUUUGGGGAAGCCGCCUGUCUAAGUUCCUUGGAACAGGACGUCAUAGAGGGUGAGAAUCCCGUAUGUGACAGGAAAUGGCACCCUAUGUAAAUCUCCUUCGACGAGUCGAGUUGUUUGGGAAUGCAGCUCUAAAUGGGAGGUAAAUUUCUUCUAAAGCUAAAUAUUGGCGAGAGACCGAUAGCGCACAAGUAGAGUGAUCGAAAGAUGAAAAGCACUUUGGAAAGAGAGUUAAAAAGCACGUGAAAUUGUUGAAAGGGAAGCGCUUGCAAUCAGACUUGUUUAAACUGUUCGGCCGGUCUUCUGACCGGUUUACUCAGUUUGGACAGGCCAGCAUCAGUUUCGGCGGCCGGAUAAAGGCUCUGGGAAUGUGGCCUCCACUUCGGUGGAGGUGUUAUAGCCCAGGGUGUAAUACGGCCAGCCGGGACUGAGGUCCGCGCUUCGGCUAGGAUGCUGGCGUAAUGGUUGUAAGCGACCCGUCUUGAAACCACGGA
rnacentral:rRNA from 1 species